GAUUGAGAUCCGGCAUCGAAAACCAAGCCGCUAACCUCGUCUGCAAAGAAAACGGCGUUUUAUCUAUAACUUAAAAGAUCAAAGUUCCCAUACCUCCUCCAUAAACUGCUCCACUCAUAUCUUGAUCUGAAAAAUUUAUAAAAGUUAUAAAUAAAACCGAGAGAAAAAACAAAAACAACAAUAAACGCCGAGGGAAGAAAAAUAUCAGUUUAAAUUUUA
ensembl:ncRNA ZK616.62 ncRNA